rnacentral:rRNA from 1 species
AUUGAACGCUGGCGGUAUGCUUAACACAUGCAAGUCGAACGAUGAGAAAGGGCUUGCUCUUUCGAUUAGUGGCGGACGGGUGCGUAACGCGUAGGAAUCUACCUAUUAGUGGGGGACAACUUAGGGAAACUUAAGCUAAUACCGCAUACGCCCUACGGGGGAAAGAAGGGGAUCGCAAGACCUUUUGCUAAUAGAUGAGCCUGCGUAGGAUUAGCUAGUUGGUGGGGUAAAAGCUCACCAAGGCGACGAUCCUUAACUGGUUUGAGAGAAUGAUCAGUCACACUGGAACUGAGACACGGUCCAGACUCCUACGGGAGGCAGCAGUGGGGAAUAUUGGACAAUGGGCGAAAGCCUGAUCCAGCAAUACCGCGUGUGUGAAGAAGGCCUUAGGGUUGUAAAGCACUUUCAAUUGGAAGGAAAACCUCGAAGCUAAUACCUUCGAGUUUGACAUUACCUUUAGAAGAAGCACCGGCUAACUCCGUGCCAGCCGCCGCAGUAA